rnacentral:lncRNA from 1 species
AUGCUAUUAGCAAAUCUGGAAAACCCAGCAGGGGCCACAGGACUGAAAAAGGUCAGUUUUCUUUCCAAUUCCCAAAAAGUGCAAUGCCAAAGAAUGUUCAAAUACCACACAACUGUGUUUAUUUCACAUGCUAGUAAAGUAAUGCUCAAAAUUUUCCAAGCCAGGCUUCAGCAAUACGUGAACCAUGAACUUCCAGAUGUACAAGCUGGAUUUAGAAAAGGCAGAGGAACCAGAGAUCAAAUUGCCAACAUCCGCUGGAUCAUCGAAAAAGCAAGAGAGUUCCAGAAAAACAUCUAUUUCUCCUUUAUUAACUAUGCCAAAGACUUUGACUGUGUGGAUCACAAUAAACUGUGGAAAAUUCUGAAAGAGAUGGGAAUACCAGACCAUCUGACCUGCCUCUUGAGAAACCUAUAUGCAGGUCAGGAAGCAACAGUUAGAACUGGACAUGGAACAACAGACUGGUUCCAAAUAGGAAAAGGAGUACAUCAAGGCUGUAUAUUGUCACACUUCUUAUUUAACAUAUAUGCAGAAUACAUCAUGAGAAACGCUGGGCUGGAAGAAGCACAAGCUGGAAUCAAGAUUGUCGGGAAAAAUAUCAAUGACCUCAGAUAUGCAGAUGACACCACCCUUAUGGCAGAAAGUGAAGAGGAGCUAAAAAGCCUCUUGAUGAAAGUAAAAGAGGAGAGUGAAAAGGUUGGCUUGAAGCUCAACAUUCAGAAAAUGAAGAUCAUGGCAUUUGGUCCCAUCACUUCAUGGGAAAUAGAUGGGGAAACACUGGAAACAGUAUUAGACUUUAUUUUGGGGGGCUCCAAAGUCACUGAAGAUGGCGACUGCAACCAUGAAAUUAAAAGACACUUACUCCUUGGAAGAAAAGCUAUGACCAACCUAGACAGCAUAUUCAAAAGCAGAGACAUUACUUUGCCAACAAAGGUCCGUCUAGUCAAAGCUAUGGUUUUUCCAGUGGUCAUGUAUGGAUGUGAGAGUUGGACUGGGAAGAAAGCUGAGUGCCGAAGAAUUGGUGCUUUUGAACUGCGGUGUUGGAGAAGACUCUUGAGAGUCCCUUGGACUGCAAGGAGAUCCAACCAGUCCAUUCUAAAGGAGAUCAACCCUGGGAUUUCUUUGGAAGGAAUGAUGCUAAACCUGAAACUCCAGUACUUUGGCCACCUCAUGUGA